AACCCUGCCUUUCCUGGCCCUGAAAGAGGCCAGAAGAGGGUGUCUUAGUUAAAGAUCCUGAAGUUCCAAAGAUGGGUGGUCGUCAAUGGUCACAACCACCGAGGGCUUUCCCCAACCUGAGCCAAACAUCCCCCAUGGUAGUAUUAAGUAAGGUGUGUUGCAGCUACCUAUUCGAGUCUCCCUCUGUGCACUUGGCCCAGAGAACCAAGGAAAUGAAGGAGCAGAAUUGCUUCCUUGCGUGAAGGGCUUUGGACCACCUUCACUAAGGUGGGGAGGAGUCUCCCACCCCGACCCUUCAUUUCAAAGACAAGUUUGGUGACUCAGAACAGGGUUGACUCUGCAUGUUACCCCCAGGGUGGUGUCACCAGCUUUGCCAACAACACACUAUCCUGAUGUACAACCCCCGGCCAAUGCCCCCAUUACCAUCAAACUGAGAGCCGAACAUACCUAGGUCUUGAAAAAAGGGAAGUCAGAACCACUAAUCAACAAUCAUAAGACCACAUCAAGUCUCUUUAGCACUGUCUCCUCCCACACACUUACUCUCCUCCACCAGACUCAAUUCCACCAUCCUCCCUCCACAGGUCGCUGCAGGGCAGGGAGUGUCAGAACAAACUGAACCCCCAAAGAAUCCCAAGUGCAAGGAAGGACCCAAGGUCUCCUAGCAACAUGGAGGGUGGGGCAUGGAGCAGACAUUGGCUUAGACAGAGGUCAUGCUGGGUCCCCUCCAAGGGCAUCCUUGGCCCCAUUCAGAGGGCUCCGGACCAGGGCAGCCUCAGCCUAUAGCUCUGAAGCAGUUCAGAAGGAGCCAAGGAGGAAGGGGAAGGGAAGCUCUUGCCUGUGUGGGUGUGGGCAGUUAACCUCCAAACCCAUGGAUGAAGGGACAAAACCCCUCCGAAGUGGAGAAAAAAAGGUGAGGAGAGAGUUGCUUACUCUUGCUGUGUUGGCUAAGCAUUUCUCCAGGUGGUUUCGCUGUGAUGGAAGAAAUGUCUCCUCCCUCAUGCCAUCCCCUGACUCCCGGGCACCUAGCCGGACACAGAUCUGAUCCACUGGAAAAGCGGGAAUACAAACCUGUUGAAUUGAAGGGGGGAGAACUGGGUUGGCUCC
rnacentral:lncRNA from 1 species